AUCUUGUUCCUGAUUCCAAAAACACCUGCAUGAAGAAAGCAUAAAUAAGAAUAAAGAUCUCCAUCUCACUGUCUCUCUGCCUUCAUCACUGCCUGGUUUGGAUCAAAAACAGCUGGACAGGCUUGUGAGAACAGCAGGGAAGAUCAUUGGUGCCCCUCUCCCAUGCCUGCUGGAGAUCUUCAACCAGUGUCGCAUCUGCAGAGCCUCCAGCAUUAUCAAGGACUCCUCCCACCCUUCCCAUGGACUGUUUUCCCUCCAACCAUCAAGAAACAGGUACAGGAGCAUUCACACCAGGUCCUCCAGGUUCCUCAACAGCUUUAGCCCUCAAACUGUGAGGAUCCUGAACACUCUUCCCCCCCUCCCCCAGUCACCACUGGAUUUCUCCACUCAUGCAAUCCUUCACACACCAAACUGUGCCCCUUAUGUAUAAAAAGAACAACCUCAACAAAAAUAUUAGUACUGAUUUGUAACAAACUCUUUUCAUAGUCAAGUCAAGUUUAUUUUUUAUAGCGCUUUUAACAAUAGACAUUGUUGCAAAGCAGCUUUACAAAAUUUUAAUGACUUUAAACAUGAGCUAAUUUUAUCCCUAAUCUAUCCCCAAUGAUGAAGCCUGUGGUGACAGUAGCAAGGAAAAACUCCCUCAGAUGACAUGAGGAAGAAACCUCGAGAGGAACCAGACUCAAAAGGGAACCCAUCCUCAUUUGGGCGACAACAGACAAUGUGAUUAUAACAUUUUUAGCAGUUUUAACAUGGUCAGUUUCAUUGAUGAUAUAAACUCUUCAUUGAUGGAAACUUGAGUGCAAAACUGUUCAUGACAACUGCAGUCCUAAAGUUAGCAAGUCAACUGUAGUCCUCAGCCAUAAAAGCAUUACUGUAAGAGUCCAGAGCGUCCUCCAGGUGUGACUUUCAACUGUCCAUAUGGGGCCGUCCUCCACAGGAGCGAUGUGAUGAGAAUCCAACCAGACACAGGGCACCAGGAUGGAUCAGGCAGGUCUGAGGAGCAGAGGAGGUUCAGCAUCUUGAUCUCAGGAUUGACAUGUAACUCAGAGGAACAGACGGGGGGGGGGAAUAGAGAGAAAACACAGGUUGUUAGGUAUGCCCAAUGUCACCCGAUGAGUAAGAACAGUAUACAUUUUGCAGAGUGCAAGCCGGGUGUGGCAGCGGGGGCAUGGUCAAGUGUCGGUUUGUGACCGGAGGGCAGAGUCAGGGAAGGACUUCAUAAAGGGAAGAAGACUUGCUCAGGAUAGAAGGUUCCCUUGAAAUGGACUGAAAAUAAAAUAACAUGAUAAAACUUGUCUGACCUGAAACACAACCAUAAGGUAGUUCCUGCUACUGUGAACGCAUUACAUUUGUCCAACCUGAUAAAUUAUGCAAUGACUUGGUUUCAGGAUAUUUCAUUUCAACCUAUUCCUCUCAUUGAUGUUUUAUGUGCUGUAAACUCCUCCAUAACCACUGGUACUUUCCUGGAUACUUUAAGGAUUGCUAUGGAGAGCAUACCUGGACCCUUGUCUUUUUAUAAGCCUGAUUCCAAAAAGUUGGACUGCUGGGUAAAAUGUAAAUUAAAAAAAAAAAACAUUACAAACAUGAAAAUAUCUUGUGUAACGCCCCCAUGCCACUGGAAUUGGCAUGCAAUAAUAUUAACCUUCAAACUGACUAUGGGGUGCCCUGUGUUCUUGUAACUUUAGCGACAACACAAUAUAUGUGUAUAUCUAAAGGGUUUUUUAUAAUGUGCUCUAAUAGCUCUCAAUGCUGUACUUAACUAUUAACGGUUUUUGUUUUUUUAAUGGAAUCAA